rnacentral:lncRNA from 1 species
AACUGUGGGAUGUAACAUUUGCAGUCCAAGCAAUCUUGGCCACUGAUCUUGUUGACGAAUGUGGUUCAACACUUAAGAAAGCCUUCAGUUUCCUAAAAAACACUCAAGUAUCUAUUAAUUUCACUUAAAAGAUCAAACCUAUCUUAAAUCCUAAAUUAAAACAAAAUGUUAGCGGAUUUUCUUGUUCAUAACUCAUGAUUAAAUUUGUCAAUUAAGGUUCGGGAAGAUUGCAGUGGUGAUCUUAAUUAUUGGUACCGCCAUAUUUCUAAAGGAGGAUGGCCUUUCUCCACUGCUGACAAUGGUUGGCCUGUUUUAGAUUGUACUGCUGAAGGAUUAAAGGUACAUUUCUUUUUCCCAAGUCUCUGUUUCCUGAGGCUAGAUGCUAUGUUGGCAUGUGGGUACUUAUUAAUUAAACCGAUAAAACUUCUUACGAUGGAAAGGUUGGUUCGAUUCAUGAUCAUACAGGCAGCAAUAUUAUUAUCACAAUUGCCAGCUGACAUAGUGGGAGAAGCAAUACAAGAAAAUCAGUUAUAUGAUGCUGUUAAUGUUAUCUUAUCCUUACAGGUACUUCAUAGACAACGGUCUUAAAAUUGAUUAUCAACUAUUUAAUUGUCUUUCGAAAGAAAACAUGUCAGGUUUGUACAAAUGCAUGUCUUCUUAAUUGCAGAACAGCACUGGAGGCUUUGCAUCUUAUGAGCUAACAAGAUCUUAUGCAUGGUUAGAGGUGAGAAAAAUAUUUUCCUUUCAAUUAAUUGGGUCUAUUAACUGAGGAGUGAGGCAUUGAUUAAGUUUUGACAAGAUUUUAUUUGUAUUAAAUUUCAGAUGAUCAAUCCAGCUGAAACUUUCGGAGAUAUCAUUAUAGAUUAUCAGUAAGAUAACCAAAUUAAUUAAUUAUUCCAUUGAUUAAUUAGCAAUAAAAAGUAUAAACUACGAAUUUUCUAAGCUACAUCAAAAUGCAGAUAAUCAAUAUGUGCAAGUUAUGACAAACUAAAUUUAAGAGUAGUUAAAAUUAAAUUAGGUGUCUAAUUUAUUACAGGAGUUAUGGUCGCUCAUAUUUCGUGUUUAAUUUAGGUAUGUGGAAUGCACUUCAGCAGCAAUCCAAGGUCUAAAAUCAUUCAUGAAAAUCUAUCCAGGACACAGGAGAAAAGAAAUAGAAGCCUGUAUUGAAAAGGCCAUCGAGUUUAUUGAAAGCAAACAACAACCUGAUGGUUCAUGGUAUGUUUAACUUGUAUAUAAAUGUCAUGUUAAUUUAAAUAAAAGUUUCCUGUAUAUCACUCUCUAAUUAAAUAUUUAGGCAUCUUGAUUUUUAAUAUGUUAAGAAAUGUUAUGAUAAUUUGAAGUGAUUAUUUAUGAAUUUAGGUAUGGGUCGUGGGGAGUGUGCUUCACAUAUGGAACGUGGUUUGGAGUAAAGGGCCUGGUGACUUGCGGUAAAACAUAUGAAAAUAGCAAUAACAUAAAAAAAGCAUGUAAUUUCUUGCUAUCCAAACAGCUUGAUUCUGGUGGGUGGGGAGAGAGCGAUCUUUCUUGCCAAAACAAGGUAAUUAACUCAAUUUUAAGUUUAUUAAGGAUAUCCAAGUUUGUUAUUUUCCCAGGAAAUUUUGGAAAAGAAAUUGUUGAUUGCAUAGAGGGAGAAAAAACCAUUAUAUUGAUUGUACCUUUUUUUUUUUUUUUUUUUUUAAACUGCUCUUGUGAAAUCUUUGAUAAGGUAUACACAAAUCUGGAAGGAAAUAAAUCACAUCUCGUAAACACUGCGUGGGCAAUGCUCUCUCUCAUUGAAGCUGGCCAGGUAUGUAAAUUAGUAAAUAUAUUCUUUAACUAGUUUCGAAUUAUAAUUAAUCAAAUCUUAACAAUAAUGACAAUUUUUUUUUUUAAUUUACAUAAAUGGGUUAGGCUCAUAGAGAUCCAAUCCCAUUACACCGCGCUGCAAAGGUGCUCAUUAAUUCACAAAUGGAAAAUGGAGAUUUCCCGCAACAGGUAAAUCUGCAUACUAUAAAGAGAGACAUAAUUAAGUUAAAAAAAAAAAAAGAAGAGAGAGAGAUAGAUAAUCGUCUUGAAUAUAAUAAUUGUAAGACUUGAAAGAUAAAACUACUAUAAUAAUUUUUUUUAAUAAUUACCUUUAUAUCUAUUUUUUCUUUUAUAGGAAAUCAUGGGAGUAUUCAACAAGAAUUGUACGAUAAGUUAUUCUGCUUACAGAAACAUCUUUCCCGUAUGGGCUCUUGGUGAAUAUCUCAAUCUCGUUUUGCUACCUUCCAAGAAUUGUUGAAUGCACCAAAAUCAAUGCGAUAAUGAUCUUAUACAUGGUCAAUUAAUAAAUGAAAAAUAAAAGCCUGAAUAGUUAAAUUAAUGUAAUACGCAAUUAGCUAGUGUUCCACUGACUUGCUCUAUCAUAAAGUGCUUUAUUGGGUAAUCAAAACAAUUAUAUAUGCAAUGUAAUUAUUUGGGUGUAUGUUAAGCUCUUUCUCACACAAACAUUACGGCAUAUUUUAUUUAUAAAUAAGAAGAAGAUGGGCAUUAAUCUUCGCUGACAUAAGUGAUUAAACCUUGAAUAAAAUAGCAAGCAAUAACUUUAAACUAAUUGCCACAAAAUAAUAACGAAUUUAAUCAUUAAAAGAAUAAAGGUAAUUUUAAUUACAAAGAAUUAAUUACGCUUAAGAGAAAUAAGGAGCUGGUUUCACCUCUCCUAAAAAUCUCAACAGACCCUAAAUCGCUACAUGGACAUGUAUUGAUGGCAAGAAAGCCCAAGCUACAAUUAAUUUUAUGCUUUAAUUCAAUUUGAUGCAUCAAUCAGUUAUAAACAGGAGGAGCUCUUCCAUAUAAUGCUGGAACAGUUGCAGGGAAAAACAUUUGCCUCACUCCCUCCGCUUUGAUGAUAGGAAAAAGAAUUUCUGAUGCACCCUGCAGCAUAAAUAUGAUUUUUUUUCUUCUUAUGAAUAAAAAAUAUUCCAGACGAUAUUUAAAUAAUCAGUUGUAAAGUAGUAGCCAGAUAAAAAGUCGCUUCUUCUCUUAAAUAUGAAUUGUGGUAAUAAAAUAUCAUUUAAUUUUUGUCAAUUAGUAUUUUGUAAAAUGCAAACGUCCCCAUCUGAUGAGAAUUUUGACUAAGGAAAAUGCUUACCCAAAUUAGCUUAGCACCAAUCCACAGGCGUUUAGGCGAAGGAAAUGGUAAUAACAAACGACCAACACCAAAUAUUGCCAUUGCUAAGAAAUGGAAAAUUAAGCUUGAUGGGCUAGGGUUUAGGCCUGAGAGUAGAGCCAUUGCUCCCGAUGUGUAAAUUCCUCCAAGCCCUAAAUAAUCAACACUUGCCUGCCGCAUUACCUCUCUUGCCUCAUCAGAUGACGCUGAAAACACUUGAUAAGCAGAAUUUGCUAGAGUGUUUAUUGUAGACGCCACGGGCUGCAUGCAUGUUAAAAUAAUAUCAAUCAACCAUGCACACCCUUAUAUUGACAGUUACCUUGCGUAAGGUGUAAAAGGAUUCGAGAUAUUGGUUAAGAGAAGCAGCAUCGUGAAAAUCCUGAAGAGGCUUUAUAAGAUUUCUAAGUACGACGACGUCAGAGAGAGCCACAGUCAUUCCACCACCAGUUAAAGGAUGGCGCAUGUUGAAAGCAUCACCCAACAAAAGGGCUCCGGGGGUAGUUUUGGGAGCCGCCGGCAUGCUUCUGUUUGUCGCUGUUCUAAUGCUGCCUUUCUCAACUUUUGAAAUGAAUGCAUCGCGAAGCUCAUCAGGAAUCUGAAACGAACAACAGUGCUCAUCAUGUAACUAUGAUUAGCUUCACAAGGGAUUUCUAAUACUUUUCGUUAACUGUGUAUUAAGGAAGCACAUCUCAGCUUCUUAGUCAAGGAUCAGUCAAAGCAAAGAAUGAUUAAAGAAGCCAAAUCAGCAGAGUGAUUGAGAGUGUACCAGAUUGAUUGACAGCUCAGCUUAAUUAGUUACACUUGUCUAUUGUGCUCUGCAUCUUUUAUUCUGUUGUUUCUGUUUUAGUUUUAUGCAGUUAGUUAAGCUCACGAGCUUAGUAUAAAAACAGAUUGUAUCUUCUCUUUUGAUUACGAUGAAAUAAUAAUAAUAAAAUUCAGCUCAAGAAUAUUCUUUUCCUCUGUAAAUUUUCUUUUCUUCCAAACACUAUAAGAUUUUCCUUUAUGGUAUCAGAGCCAGAUCAAUAUGACUAGCUCCAAUAAUCCAAUCGUAAACACAAACACUAAUUCAACAAGCUCAACCAAUUUUUCAUUCAACACUCCUGUGAAGCUAGAUCGAGCCAAUUACUUAAUAUGGCGAUCUCAAGUAUUAGCUUCCAUAAGAGGCAACAGACUUGAAUGUUUCAUUAAUGGAACAAAAUCUGAACCAGAGUAGUAUCUCACUCGAAGGACAGCCGAUGGAUCUACACAGCUGAUUGAGAAUCCAGAAUUUAUCACCUGGAAAUCACAAGAUCAAACACUUCUUGGCUGGCUCUUAUCUUCAAUAAGUGAAGGUACACUUGGUCUUGUUAUUAAUCUUGAUAGUUCAAAGUCUGUAUGGAAAACUCUUGAGAAAAAAUUUGGAGUACAAUCUGAAGCUAAGGUACUUCAGAUCAAGUAUGAAAUAAACACUUUAAAGAAAGAAUCAAUGAAUGUUGAAGACUAUUGCAUGAAAAUGAAAGCCUUAGCUGAUAAGCUUGCUUGUGCUGGGAGUCCUUUGAAUGAUAGAGAAUUGUUGAUGCACAUCCUUAAUGGUCUUGGAUCAGGCUUCCUAGAUAUAGCUUCGUUUAUCACUGUUUGUAAAAUGGAUUUUGAUGAUGCAUAUGCAUUGUUGCUCACUCAUGAAUCUAGAAUUGAGCAACAAGAGCAAGAUGCUAAAAUUGUUUUCAAUGCUAAUUUUGCACAAGGCAUGUUCAAUGCUAAUUUUGCACAAACAAGGGGAAACUAUAAAAGAGGUGGUUAUACAGGAGGUUUUCAAGGCAAUUAUCAUAGUGGAAGAGGACCAGUUACUGGUAGAGGUUUUCCUUCAAGAAAUUUUUCUGGAUUUAAUAGUUUCAAUGGAGGAUACUCUGGUUUUGGUGGAUAUGGCAGAGGCCAAAACAUGUAUUAAAUGAAAGGAAAACCAAUCUUCAAUGGCAUGUCUCCUACCAUGUCAUCCAAUUUUUCUAGAAACUCACAUCCAAAUACUGCUAGUAUUUCUGAUGAAGUGGUAAUAUGUCAGAUUUGCUCUAAGUCUGGACACAGUGUUGAUGUCUACUAGUAUAGAUUUAAUGAAGAUUUUGUUCCAGCUUCAUCUAGAGCCAAUAAUAAAGGAAAAAUUCCAAAGUCUGCUUAUAUGACUAAUUUUGAACCAGCUAAUUACAUGCCAUGUUAUAUGCCUAAUUUGAUGAAUAUUCUGCUGGUUUGUCUCCUGUAUACAUACCUAGUUCUCAUGCUUCAUAUUCCCCUGGAGUUGCAUACAUGGCCAAUUUUGAAGGGCCUGCUGAUGAAGGCUGGUAUUUGAAUAGUGGAGCUACACAUCAUCUCACAAACAACAUGGCAAAUAUGCACAUCAAAGAGGAAUUCAAAGGUAAUGAUCAACUCAUCAUAGGAAAUGGUCAAGGCCUAACUAUCACUCAUGUUGGUAAUGCUUCUCUUCGAUCUGGUCAUACAACUACUUGCAUUUUGUUAAAAGAUAUGCUGCUUGUACCCUCUAUAACCAAAAAUCUUUUAAGCAUAUCCAAACUAACCUUAGAUAAUAACAUCUCUGUUGAAUUUUGUGGUAAUGUUUGUUUUGUGAAGGACAAAAUGAAGGGACAAGUUCUGCUGCAGGGGCUUGCUGAGAAAGGGCUGUACAAGUUGCAACUUAAACUCAGUUCACCUAAUACUCAAACUCAUGAGUCAUAUAUGUCAGUUGUUCAUUCAAAUAAGCCUCUGUCUAUGUUGUCUUUUGUUGACAGAAACAAUCAGACCUCACAUAAUUGUGAUUCUUUUGCUAAGACCUGUUUCAAUUCUGUUUCAUCCAAUUGUACUCAAAUAGUUGAUCAAUUAACUUUGUUGCAUAGAAAGUUUGGUCAUCCAAAUUUGAAUGUUCUUAUACACUUGCUGAGGUUUUAUAAUUGUGCUAAAGUCUCUCUCAAGACACUUAAAAAUUCCAGUCAUAAUGUGUGUAAAGCCUGUCAAUUGGGAAAAUCCCACAGAUUACACUUUGCAACUACAGAUACCAAAACUACUCAUGUUCUGGAACUUAUACACAGAUCUUUGGGGGCCUUCACCAAUUCUGUCUAGGAAUGGAUAUAAGUACUACAUUAGCUUUGUUGAUGAUUAUAGCAGAUAUACAUGGAUUUAUCCCCUUAAGCUUAAAUCAGAAGCUUUAGAAGUCUUUAAGCUAUUCAAACUUCAGGUUGAAAAUCAGUUUAGCACAUCUAUCAAGAUGUUGCAAUCUGAUUGGGGGGGGGGGGGGGAGAAUAUAGAGUGUUUACAGAUUUUCUAAAUCAAAAUGGCAUUUUUUUAGACAUUCAUGCCCUUAUACACAUCAUCAAAAUGGAUCAGUGGAAAGAAAACAUAGACAUAUAGUUGAACUUGGUUUGACUUUGUUAGCUCAAGCAAAGUUAUGUCUUCAAUAUUGGUGGGAUGCCUUUCAUACUGCAGUGUUUCACAUCAAUAGGUUACCCACUCCAGUGCUCAAGAAUCAAACACCAUAUGAGAAGUUGUUUAAACACAAAGUAGAUUAUAGUUUUCUUAAGUGUUUUGGCUGUUUAUGUUAUCCAUUCUUGAGAGACUAUAAUAAACAUAAGUUUGAUUUUCAUUCCAGCAAGUGUAUAUUCAUUGGGUAUAGUCCAUCACACAAAGGUUAUAAAUGCCUUCAUCCUUCAGGUCGAGUAUAUAUUGCCAGACAUGUUACAUUUGAUGAAACAUGUUUUCCUUCAGUCAUUCUUGAUGAUAAAACCAAUACCUCAUCUUGUGAUACUGAGUCUGUCAAAACACUAAGCCAACAACUAGUAUUUCAAUUGUCUACUUUGCCAUAUAUUCCUGAUAGCAGCUCUGAAGAACCUUUCUUAGCAGGAACCAGCAGUAACAGAACUCAAUCUUCAUCAGGUUCUGAGCAUACAAUCACUGCUCAACACAAUCAACCACUUGAUUUACUUGAUUCUCAAGACUACACACAAACACCAAUUAUAAACACUUCACCUGUAUCAGCUCAAACUUCUCAACCAGCACCUCAAAAUCCAAUUUUGCCACAUGACAUAUUAACCAACACAUAUUCACAGAACCAGCAACCUAUUCAUCAGCCUACACACAAAAUGAUCACUAGAGCUAAAUCAUGUAUAUUCAAACCAAAGGUGUAUUGUGCUGCUUUGUCAAGUAGAGAACCAGAUACAGUAGAAGAAGCAUUAGGAGAUCAAAGAUGGUAUCAGGCAAUGAAAGAUGAGUAUGAUGCAUUAAUGAGGAACAAUACUUGGAUUCUAGUACCUAAAACAUUUGAACAGAAAGUUGUUGACAAUAAAUGGGUAUUUAGAGUCAAGCAUAAUACUGAUGGGAGUGUUGCCAAGCAUAAAGCAAGACUUGUUGCAAAGGGAUUUCAACAAGUAGCAUGAGUUGAUUAUUUUGAGACUUUUAGUCCAGUAGUUAAACCAGCUACAGUUCGAGUGGUGUUAAGCUUGGCUGCAAUGAACAACUGGAAAAUAAGGCAAGUAGAUAUUAAUAAUGCAUUCUUGAAUGGUGAUCUAGUUGAAGAUGUGUUUAUGAAGCAACCUGAGGGUUUUAUCAAUGUUCACAAACCUGAUCAUAUUUGCAAAUUGAAUAAGGCACUUUAUGGGCUGAAGCAGGCUCUUAGAGCAUGGUUUGAUAAGCUCAAGGAAACCUUGAUUAAAUGGGGAUUUCAGAAUUCAAGAGCAGAUACAUCACUGUUUCUAAAGAAGGAAAAAGGAUCUAUGAUUAUGGUACUAAUCUAUGUGGAUGAUAUAUUAAUUACAGGUCAUAACAGCAAAGCUCUUGAAGAUUUUAUUUCUCAUUUUAGUUUAGUUUUUGCCUUAAAGGAUCUAGGGAUUUUGUCUUAUUUCCUGGGAAUUGAAGUUUCUUACUACAAUGGAAGUAUUUUCUUGUCUCAAAGAAAAUAUAUCAGAGACUUAUUGGCAAAAGCAGAGCAGCUGAACUGUAAAGGCUGUGACACACCAAUGACUACUGGAACAAAACUUCAGAAACAAGUUGAUGAUUCACUUGGACAAUUUAUUGAUGAUCCUUCAGCAUAUAGAAGUUUGGUUGGUGGUUUACAGUAUGUGAUUCUUACAAGGCCUGAGAUAGCCUUUGCAGUACAUAAGCUUAGUCAAUAUAUUGCUAUGCCAACUUUACAACAUUUAAUGGCAUGUAAGAGAGUAUUAAGAUACUUAAAGGAAACUCAGGAUUAUGGACUGAAAUUUGGAGUUGAAGGAGAGCUGACACUAACUGGAUACACAUAUGCAGAUUGGGCUUGUGACAUUGAUGACAGGAAAUCUGUUGGUGCAUAUUGUAUUUACUUGGGAAACAAUCUAAUCUCGUGGUCUUCUAAGAAGUAAUCAGUUGUGACUAGAUCUAGUGCUGAAAGUGAAUAUAGAGCUCUUGCUUCAGCUUGUGCAGAGAUUACUUGGCUUCAAUCAUUAUUCAGUGAAAUGAAUCUGCAGUGCACUUUAACUCCAGUGAUAUGGUGUGAUAACAAGAGUGCCACUGAGCUUGCAAAGAAUCCAAUUUAUCACUCAAGAACCAAACACAUUGAACUAGACAUGCACUUCAUCAGAGAUAAAGUUGUUGCCAAGGAAUUACAAAUCAAUUAUAUACCCAGUGAACAACAAAUUGCAGAUGUCUUAACAAAACCCUUAACCUUCAAUCACUUCAAUUUUUUCAGAAGCAAACUCAAUGUUCAACCUUGCCCGUUGAGUUUGAGGGGGGCUAUUAAGGAAGCACAUCUCAGCUUCUUAGUCAAGGAUCAGUCAAAGCAAAGAAUGAUUAAGGAAGCCAAAUCAACAGAGUGAUUGAGAGUGUACCAGAUUGAUUGACAGCUCAGCUUAAUUAGUUACACUUGUCUACUGUGCUCUGCAUCUUUUAUUCUGUUGUUUCUGUUUUAGUUUUAUGCAGUUAGUUAAGCUCACGAGCUUAGUAGAAAAACAGAUUGUAUUUUCUCUUUUGAUUACGAUGAAAUAAUAAUAAUAAAAUUCAGCUCAAGAAUAUUCUUUUCCUCUGUAAAUUUUCUUUUCUUCCAAACACUAUAAGAUUUUCCUUUAUUGUGUAAUUUAACAUUUAAUAAAAUAGCCAACCAAAAACGCAUGUGUGGCAGAAAAUUCAAGAAAGAUUAACACAUGCAGCUCAACUCAACACUGGAUACAAAUUCCAAAAAUGUACCUGCGGUGCCACUUUGGUCUUCAAGUAUUUGGCCAUUUCACCAUUGGCAAUUGAAGGUAAUUUCUGACCAGCUGGUACAUCAACCAAGCAUCUAACUUCUGAGCUACUAAUUGGAUAAAAUAAGAUGGGUGAGGGAUCUGUUAAAACUACGUGUCCGUGAUUUGGGACUGGAAGCUGACAGUUCUCCAAUGCCAUCCCGACAAAACAUGAUGGUAUAUCAACCUGUUAAAACAAGUCAAGUUCGAUACUAUCGAUAUUUAUUAGGAUGAACAAAUUAAGGAGACUUAUUUGCAGCCAAUAAAAUAAAAUACGAAGGAAAAUUUCACCUUUGGAUUGCAAAGAGACCGACGCAGAUUGGAGAAGCCACCGUCACAUACAAUUGUAAGAGGAGCGUAAGAUUUGUGUUCUUGACCGUCCUUAGUUUUGUAGUGAACCCCUUUCACAAUUCCAUUUUCUUCAAACAGGGAUGUCACUGUCCCUUCCUCCAUCCGUACGCUGAAUUGAUCAUUAAAUUGUCAAACGCCAAUUAUUUUUGUUUUUGUUGAAAAUCUGGAGCAAUCAAUGCAUUGUAUUUGAUUGUUGAUAUAAUCUAUGCAGAUAUUCGUACUUGAGAAUAGUAAAAAAUAUUAUAUGUACGUACUUGGGAAGAGAAGCAGCUUUUUCUCUCAUUCUUUGAAUGAACCGGCCAUUGUGGAAACUCCUGCCGGCAACAUUAGCCUGAAAGUUUCCCAGUGGAUAUGGAGUUUUUGUAAUUUUUCCGUCCUUGAACAGAGCGUAUCCCACUACAGGAUGGGCAUCGAUUUCUUCCACACAAUCUGCAUUCAUUCAGAUAAUUAAAACAGGUACGAUAAUGUUAAUUAAUGAAUUUUGUAGUAAUUAAUUAGUUAUGUUAUUAUAUAUACCAUCAAGGCCUAAUUCAACUAGUUUCAGGUAUCCUCCAGGCUGUAGCAAUUCACCAACAAUUCUAUUAGGCUCCAUCAGGUCUCUUUCGAUCACAUGAACUCUUCUUCCAUCCUGCAUAUCAAUUUAGUUUAUGUUAAUUGAAAUUAAACAAACCCAAAAAGCCAAAAAAAGAAAAAAAAGGAAUUAUGUACGUACCUUGCCAAGGGUAUGGGCCAGGGCAGCACCAGCAACACCAGCACCAACAAUGAUGACAUCGGGGCCGGAAACAUUCUCAGGCAGAGAAUGUUCGUUAUCUGCAGAUGUCAAAACGACGUCAUUUUCCAUCUUGUUGUAAUUCUUUCUGCUCUUGGGCAACUUCUUCAUCUUGUUAGGGCGCAAAAUUAUGAGAAGAAGCAAGCCAAUAAGAGAAGUAGCAAAGAAAGUGCCAAUGAACUGAUCAAUCAUCAACACCAUUCUUUUUUCGGUUCUGAGUUCAGACAAAUGUCUGCGAACAAUGAAUGCAAUAUCUUGAUUGUCUUUCUUGAUUUGUUGGUAAGCUUUUGAUUCGAUGAGUGAUUGUGAGCCGAGGCCAUAGAGGCUUUAUAAAUAGAAAGAUCACAUGCGGGGCGGUGGUGUUUUUGGUAAAGAGAACUUCAAUGCCAAAUUGUAACUUCUUCAAUAUCAACUGCUUUUUGAGUCAGCAGCCAGCUGCGACGACUGGGCCUUCAGUGACUCUAAACUCAUCAUGUUUCCUGUUACUCUUAUUUUUUUAUUAUCACUAAAAUGGAAUCUUGCUAAGUCAAUUAAUACAAAAUUUUACAUCAAAAUUAUCAUUACACCACUUUUAUUUUGCCUUAUAUUCAUCUAAUCACUACCAAAUUUUAAUAUGUAUUUUACACUACCUUUUUUUUCACAUUUGUAUCAACUAACCACUUUUGCAUUAACACUAUUAAAUAAUUUUAAUAAAAUGAUAAUUUUACUCCCAAAUAAAUUAAAAGACCAUUUUAUUUUAUAAAAAAUUUAAAAAUAAUAAAAUAUAAUGAUAAAAAUAUCCCUAAAUUUAAUAAAAAUAAAUCCCAAAAUUAGAAUUUUUAUUUUUAAUAAAAAUUAUUUUAAUAUAAAAUUAUAAUUAUAAAAAUAAUUGCAAAAUUUUGGGAUUUAAUAAAAAUUCCCUAAAUUAUUAAAAUUUUAGGAUUUAUUCUUUUAAGAAAUAAAUUUAGUUAUUUUCAUAAAAUUUUACAAAAUUAUAAUUUUUUAAUAAAUAAAUUCAUUUAUUUAUAUUAAAAUUUUGUAAAAUUAUAAUUUUUAAUAAAAAUAAUUAUUAAAAUUUUGUAAAAUCUAAAUUUAGUAAAAAUCAGUUGAGCACCUCUAUUUGAGAUUUAUUUUUUAUUAAAUUUAGGGAUAUUUUUUAGGGUAAUUUUUAAAAACCUCCCCUGAGGUUUGGGCUUGUUGCAAGUAGAUGGCGAGAAUUGAUUUAUUUGUAAAAAACUCCCUACCGUCAGUUAAGUUUAACAUUGACCAUUAGUUGACCGUGCAAAGACAAUAUUACCCUUAACAAUAGUUUAUAAACGAAAAUAACUAAAAAAAAAAUCAAAAUUAUUAGCAAUUUUACCCUUUUUAAAUUAUUGAUAUUUUCUUAAAGUUCCUAUAAAAAAGUUAAAAUUAAAAAAUUAAAAAAUCCUCUUUAAAUUAUUGAUAUUUUCUUAAAAUUCCUACAAGAAAGAUAAAAUUAAAAAUUUAAAAAUGAAAUAGUCAUAAUCUUUACCUAUGAUAUUGUAAAUUUUUAGAAUUGACAAGGAUAAAAUUGUCAAAAAAUAGGGUUUGUGCUUUUUGCACCAAUAAUUUUGGUUUUUUUUUAGUUAUUUUCGUUUACAAACUAUUGUUAAGGGUAAUAUUGUCUUUGCAUGGUCAACUAACGGUCAAUGUUAAACUUAACUGAAGGUAGGGGGUUUUUUACAAAUAAAUCAAUUCUCGCCAUCUAUUUGCAACAAGCCCAAACCUCAGGGGAGGUUUUUAAAAAUUACCCAUAUUUUUUAUGAUUAUAAUUUUUAAUUUUAAAAGUUUUUAUAAGAUAAAAUAGUCUUUUAAUUUAUUUGGGGGUAAAUUUGUUAUUUUAUUAAAAUUAUUUAAUAGUGUUAAUGCAAAAGUGGCUAGUUGAUACAAAUGUGAAAAAAAGGUGGUGCAAAGUACAUGUUAAAAUUUUGUAGUGGUUGGAUGAACAUAAGGUAAAAUAAAGGUGGUGCAAUGAUAAUUUCCCAUUUAAGAAUCGUAAAAAAAUUAAUUGUGAAAAAUAUAGAUUCAAGCCCAUUUUAAAUUUAUGAGCAUACUUUUAAGUAAGAAUUAAGCUCGCAGACUUUUAUAGUAUGUUUAGAAUCAGCCAGGUGCACAAACAGAUCCACACUAUAUUUUUUUCACAUAAAAUAAACUAAUAAGAAAACCGGCUUGUACACUUAAAAAUUAUUAAAAGAUAAAUUUUGCUAUAAUCCUUAGCGUUUGGGUCAAUUAUUCUAUUAGUCCUUAUAUUUUCAUUUCAAAAUAUCAAGAUUGUUCUUUCUAUCACUGUUUGAUCUAAUUUUUUAAGAACAAAUUUAAUAUGCUACAGGUGAAAAGUAGAAAAUAAUUAAGUAUAUUUUAAAUAUUAAAAAUAGAUACACAAGAAAACAUUUUAGGAAACUUAUAAAAUACAAGAAUUACCAAACCCUUAAGGAAUAAAGCAAAACUUUCCUUUAUUAAAAUUAAUAAAAGUUGAUAUAUGGAAUAUUGAGAACGAGUAUCGUAUUGUAUAUAUAUUUGUACCCUUUAUUCUCCUUGUUGCUUGACGACAAAGGACCACGGCCAUGACAAAAUAAGUUAUAAUUACCGUCGAGUUCAAGUCUUUAUGAUUGUGAAAAUACCACCAAAACAACGAACUAUUUGCGAAUCUAUGUAUUUAUAAAUAAAAGGAUUUUUCUAUCUGGAAAUGCACUCACUUGGAGGCUGAAACUAAGGGAGUUACUAGAUAAGAUAUGUUGAGUGUUAUGCACAGAUUAGUGGGUACGCUGGCCAAGAUUGAGCUUGAUUUUGUAGCAGCUAUAUGGUGAUUUACGGGGCAUGCAAGGAACAAACUCGUCUUUGAGGGAAGAAACCAAACCCCAUGUUUUCAUCUACUAAGGGUAAAGCAGUCAUAAAUGUUAGAACUAAAUUUUUUUUUUUUGAUAAAAACCAUCACUUAUAACCCAUGAACAUUCAUGUUGUACCAACAAGAAUUAAUAGUAAAUUAUGCAGAAACAUAUACGAAUCCAUAACGCUAAAUUGCUCUUUAAGAUUGUGUGGCUGGCCUUCCAGAUCAACACAUUCUCCUGGAGGAUCCUUUGAUAUCAUAUGCGCUCUCUCUCUGAUGAUGGUAUGUCAAUAGAGAAUAGAAUGCUACGCAUGACCUAAGGACCAUAACCACUUAUAUAUACAACUUUUUUCUGUUGUCAUUAGGUAUUCCUAAUUCUACCCAUCAUAGAAUUAGAAUACAAUUAGGUCUCUACACAUUAAAGGCUCACACCAUGUUAGAUACAUUAAAGGCCGUAAUACCAAACACCUUAAUAGAUCACUUUUAACUGGACUUAAUCUUAUAUGAUAGUUUGCAAUACAUAAUUAUUCACAUAUAAGCCCGACGUUGGAUUAAGGAUCUAACAAUGCUGAAUUAAAAAUCCAACAAUGGAUGCUUAUCAAAAAGUGAAGGUGAAGGAACAAAAUUGCAAAAAAAGCAAAGAAGAUAGAAAACUACGGGCAUAGAGUCCACCACCUACCAAUUGCUUAAAAGUCAAUGUUGAUGUUGUUGUCCAUAAAGAUAAGCAAGUUGCAUGCAUGUUUAGGGGAACUCACUGGGCCAAGUGUAGCUGCAACAGUGAAAACAUAAAAUUUCAAGGGAAUAUUUCUCUUGUAGAAACUCAAGCUGUCAAAUAGGGGAUGGAGGUGGCAAAAGAGGCAAGCUUCACAAAUGUGAUUUUUGAAACAGAUUGUAGUGAAGUGGCUGACUUAACCAACAACAAAACCAGCAACAGAAUAGAAAUUUGGUGGACUACAUCAUAGAUUCAAAGAAGUAAACACUAUUUUCAAUCGGCAAUAGUCCAACAUGUACCAAAGCAUUGUAAUAUUCUUGCUCACUCUCUCGCUAAAAGAGCUUUUAGAAGCCCGAAAGCUGUCAUAUGGCUGGAUGGAUUCCCAGCUAAUAUAUUGUAUUUGCUUUUUUUUUAAUCUCAAAUGAAUGAAAGGGUUACUUUAAUUUCUUCAAAAAAAUAAAAAAGAUUUUUCUAAGUCACAUGUAUUUAAACUGACAAUCAAUUUUUUUUAGUUUAAAAAUGAGUAAUAAAAUAGUGGAGUCUGAUGGGGCCUAUGAGUGAAUUUUACUUAGCUAUAAGUUACAAUAAACAUAACUUAAAGUGACUCUGAAUAAAAUCGAUAUUGUUCAAUUCCUAGGAUUGUCAAUAUUUACAUUUUAAGUAAUUCACACUACUUUUGUGUCAACUUUAAAUUCUAUUUAAUAUAGUAACUUUGCAGUAGCCAUUCACCGCUAAAAAAAACAUUAUUUUAUGUAAAAUGUUUGGUGUAAAGAAAGAUGAGAGAAAGAUUGGAGAAAUAAAGAAGAAAAGGGAAGAGAGAGUGGGUGAGUAGAGAGAAAGAAGACAAAUUUCUCUCAUAUUUCUCUACACCUAGCACUACUCUUAUUUUAUUGUUAUAAUUGCAGAAAUUAGCUAGUCUAUAUAUAAUAGAGCAAGCUAUUUGUGAGUGUAUGUAAGUUUAAAUAAAAUUGAUACCAUUCAAGUCUCAUGAUUUUCACUAUUAAUGUUUUUAAACCAUUCACAUACUGACUCUCUGUUUUGGUUCAAGUCUUAAUAAGCGAAAAAAAUAAUUCUCGAGAUUCAUUAAAAAAUAAAAAAUAAAAAAAAAUUGAUCUCUAAUAGAACUACAAGUUUUAGAUUGAUCAAUUGAUGAUGAUUCACUUUUUUGUAGUCAUAUUAUCCUACCUAAAUAUCCUCUAAAAUAAAAUAUAGAAAGGAGGAUAAGAAAAUUUGGUCCCAUCUACUUUGGGGAAUGAUCACUUUCCAUGUUUACAAAAUGAUCAAGAUUUUUGCCAUAUUUUUGUACAUAAUAGUUAUAAUUCUUGGCAUACAUGUGCAUGUGCAUGCUAUAUCUUCUUGAUUCUUAUCAUACAAGCACCAUCUAAGGGUCUUGAUGGUUAUAAUAUAUAUCACAUAAUAAAAUUGAUUCCUGUCAUAUAUAUUUACAUCCCAUGUCAAAAUGCCAUGAUUAAAAAGGAUCUUCAUGUGAUUCCUAGAAAUGAUCAUUUAAAUUUUAGCAAGUUGUUUUACAAAUUCAUGAGACUUCAACAUAAGGAUACGCUGGAAACAAUUAAUGAAGUUCUUCAUUAUAUGCAUGAUGUGCAUCCGAUCGAUUUAGAUUGUCACAAAUUAAAAAAUAACGACAACGAUUAUAAUUUUUUUUAAUUGAUCGAAUACAAAAAAGUAAUUUUACAAAUUAAAGAAUUACGCUUGAGAUAAUUAAAGAGCACCCCUCCUAAAAAUCUCAAGUAACACACCCUUAAUCACUUUAUGGACACGUAAUUGAUAGCAACAAAACACGAUUAAGAGACAUUAAUGUCAAUAAACAGGAGGAGCUCUAUACAACGCCGGAACAGUGGCAGGGAAAAACAUUUGCCUGACUCCCUCCGCUUUGAUGAUGGGAAAAAGAAUUUCCGAAGCACCCUGUAAGAAUAUGAAAAUUUUUUUAUGAACCAAUCCAAACGAUUAUUUAAAUCAUUAAUUGAAAAGAAAUGUCCGGAUAAAAAAUUACUUCUCUCCUACAAAUAUUUGCACUUUACAAAAUACAAAUUGUGGUAAUACUAAUAUAGUAUCACUUUAUGUUUACUCCAAUUAAUAUUUUGUAAAAUACAGAUAUCCGCGCCAGAUGAGAAUUUUGAUGAUAGAAAAUGCACGUACCCAAAUUAGCUUAGCACCAAUCCACAAGCGUUUAGGCGACGGAAAUGGUAGUAACAAACGGCCAACACCAAAUACUGCCAUUGCUAAGAAAUGGAAAAUUAAGCUUGAUGGGCGAGGGUUUAGGCCUGAGAGUAGAGCCAUUGCCCCCGAUGUGUAAAUUCCUCCACGCCCUAAAUAAUCAACACUUGCUUGCCGCAUCAUCUCUCUUGCUUCAUCUGAUGAUGCUGAAAACACUGGUAAACAGAAUUUGCCAGAGUGUUUAUUGUAGAUGCCACCGGCUGCGUGCAUGAAAGAAAAACAAUUUUAUUUUCGGGCGCAAAUUAAAUUUUAUAGUAUGUUUGUAGUAACUUUUCUUAGUAGUUAAUAUUAUCACUAACUUCGUGCCGUUAUACUUGAUACCAAGUGAUUAAAUUUGACGUUUACCUUGCGUAAGACGUAAAAGGAUUCGAGGUACUUGUUAAGAGAAGCGGCAUCAUGAAAAUUAUGCAGAGGCUUAAUAAGAUUUCUAAGCACGACGAUGUCAGAGAGAGCCACGGUCAUUCCACCACCAGUUAAAGGAUGGCGCAUGUUGAACGCAUCUCCCAGCAAAAGGGCUCCGGGUGUAGGCUUCGGGACAGCCGGCAUACUUUUGUUUGUCAUUGUUCUAAUGUUGCCUUUUCCAACUGUAGAAAUGAAUGCAUCACGAAACUCAAUUGGUACCUGAAAUAAACACCAAGUUCAUAAUUAAUAUGGGAUUCCUUAUGUAUACAUUUUUUUGGAAAAAAAAAUUAUAUGUAUAAAUAUAAAACAUUUAGUAACAUAAAGAUGCACCUGCGGUGCUACUUUGGUCUUCAAAUAUUUUGUCAUUUCACCAUUGGCAACUGAAGGUAAUUUCUGACCGGGAACAUCAACCAAGCACCUCACUUCUGUGCUACUAAUUGGGUAAAACAAGAUGGGUGAAGGAUCUGCUAAAACUACGUGCCCGUGAUUUGGGACUGGAAGCUGACAGUUCGCUAAUACCAUACCGACAAAACAUGAUGGUAUUUCAACCUGUUGAGACAAGUCAAAUCGAUACUAUCAAUUAGCCAGCUGCUUGUUAAGAAAAGACUAAUUAGGGAUACUAAUAAUUAAUUUGCAGAGACCAACAUAUUGUUGGGGAAAAAAUAAGAUUUUAAAUUUUUUAUAAAAUUUGUUGAGGAUCGCUCUCAUAUAAUAUAUAAGAAUUUGUAUUCUAAAAAUUGUACCUUGAAAAUCCGAGUUGGCUUUUUCCGCUGAAGUGAUUUAGGCUCUUAGAUCACGAUCCAUCACCAUCACGCUUGUUAGAUCACGAACUGUCACAAAUGAUCUUUCAGGUUAUGACUCAGGUUCGAUCUGCACUUGACGUGUGGGCGCCUUUAUCACUACCAAAGCAGCUAGCACGAGAGAAUUUUUCUCUCAACAAUAGAGAGAAAAAUCUUAUUCUCUGAUCUGUAUAAAGUGGCUUCACUCUUUUUCUUUAGAGAGAAUAAGCCUUAUAUAUCUCCCUUUAGUGAAAACCCUAGGCUCCAAAUAAUGCCCAAAAUAAAACUCACGUUACUUUUCAUUUAAUAGGGGACCCACCAUGUAAAAUAACAUAAGGCCCCUUACACAUAAGCUAAUUAAAUGAAUCCUCCCACUAAAUGAUAUAUUUAGGCUUUUGACCCAAAUAGCUAGUUAUCUUGUUUAUUAGUCCAGUAGUGGUGCAGUCAAUUAAAUGAGCUAACCCGGGGAUCAUUUGGGAACAUACAAUAAUGGCUAUAAAAAUUAGACAUGUAAUUAAACUAGCCUAAUUAUUUAAUUCCAAAUAUACUCAACUAAAAGAUUGGAAUUGACCUCCAUAAUUGUAUGCUCGAAUAAUAAUUCAUCCCAAGCCACAUUGAUUUCUUUACUGCAUAAUCCUUUGUACCACAUCGUUAAUUAAAUUGAUAUCUCAACUGUCCAAUCAAUUUAAUAACAUCUUAUUCCUUGAUCCUUACUGGUUUUCUCUAAUGAUCAUUUUCAACAUACUAAAUAUGUUGACACACUCUGACCAGAGAAUUCUAUGAUCAAGUGCUGAAAACUCAUCAAGAGCUGUGUUGUACAAAUUCUAUAUUGUUAAUCUAUAACUCCAAUACUCAUAAAUGCUCCCACCAAGAUACCGGGUAUACUAGACUACAAGUAUGUGUCAUGCCCAUUGGUAACUCAAAUGGAAUAACAAUUACAAUCAUGAAAUCAUAAUUAACUCAAGAUUAAGAUUACAGUAAAAUCAAUGCUUAUGAGAUUUAAUAAGUCUGACAGUUAUUACAAAGUUAAUUAAAUCUCAUAUGUGAUCCUAUUCAAUGUAGUCGUACUACAUUAAUAAAUUCAUACAUGAUUAAGACAAAUCAUUCAAUGAAUUUAUUACAGUUUAUACCUAAAUAAAUUGCCCAACUUUAUUUAUCAAUUGCGAACUAAAUUUAUUUAAUCAUAAGAUAACUUGUAUUUAUGUCUUCUGUGAAUCCACAUGGUGAUCACAUAAAUACAUAUAAUAUGAUUAAAUUGACUUUAAUAAAAAUAUUAAUGCAAUUAAGAUAUUUGAAUAAAAUACCUCAUUAAUUUUAUUAAUCAGAAAAAAUGUUUAUUAUAAUUAAAUAAACACAUAUGCUUUUAAAAAGUAUAUUUUCCCAACAAUCUCUCACUAGCUCUCAAAGCAUAUUUAGCAUCUCACGCAUGCCCAUGGAUUCUAAGUGCAAGUUAAAAGGUUUCCCAGGUAUGGCCUUAGUAAAAUGAUCUGCCAAGUUUUGCUGUGACGCAAUCUGAGUAACCUCCACAUCACCUCUCUGCACUAUAUUCCUUAUAAGAUGAUACUUCCUUUCAAUAUGUUUUUGUUUCUUGUGGUUCCUUGGUUCCUUAGAUUGAGCUACCGCACCACUAUUAUCGCAAAAUAGUUUCAGGGGUGCAGUUAUAAUAGGUACCACCUCAAGAUCUUAUAGGAACUUACGGAGCCAUACAGCUUCUUUUGCAGCUUCGAAUGCAGCCACAUAUUCAGCUUCAGUUGUGGAGUCUGCGAUACAAGAUUGUUUCACACUCCUCCAACUAAUAACUCCACUUCCCAAUGUAAACACAUAGCCGGAAGUUGAUUUUUUGGAAUCCUUAUCUGACAUAAAGUCAGAAUCAGUAUAACCCACUGGAAUGAGUUCAUCACUAGAAUACACAAGCAUAUAAUUUUUAGUUCUUUUCAGAUACUUCAUUAUAUGCUUGACCGCAGUCCAGUGUUCAAGUCCAGGAUUAGAUUGAUAUCUACUAACCAUCCCUACCGCAAAACAGAUGUCCGGCCUAGUACAAAGCAUGACAUACAUAAGACUUCCCACAGCUUCUGCAUAGGGAACUCGUCUCAUUCUCUCUAUCUCUUCAGAUGUUUUAGGUGAUUGAUCCUUAGAGAAUGUAAUUCCACGUCUGAAAGGUAAUAAACCAGUCUUGGAAUUUUCCAUGCUAAAUCUAGCCAAUAUCUUAUCGAUAUAGUCCGCUUGAGACAAAGCUAAAGUUUUAUUUUUCCGGUCUCGUAGUAACUUGAUACCAAGAAUAUAACUUGCCUCUCCCAGGUCUUUCAUAUCAAAUUAUUUUGCUAACCAAUUCUUUAUUGUAGUCAAUACUCCUAUAUCGUUUCCAAUUAGGAGAAUAUCGUCUACAUAAAGAAUUAGGAAAGAUACAGAUUUUUCUUGAAUUUUCUUGUACACACAUGGUUCAUCAAUGUUCUGAAUGAAUUUAAACGAUUUAAUCGCUUGAUCAAAUCUGAUGUUCCAUGACCGGGAUGCUUGCUUCAAUCCAUAAAUGGAUCUCUGCAACUUAUAUACCAUGUGUUCUUGGCCUUUUUGUAUAAAUCCAUCUGGUUGUUGCAUGUAGAUGUUUUCUUCAAAAUGCCCGUUAAGAAAGGCAGUCUUGACAUCUAUUUGCCAAAUUUCAUAAUCUAGCACUGCAGCAAUAGAGAGCAAAAUCCUGAUGGAUUUAAGCAUAGCAACCGGAGAAAAGGUUUCCUCAUAAUCGAUUCCCUCUUUCUGAGUAAACCCUUUGGCUACUAAUCUUGCUUUAAAUGUUUUCACCCUUCCAUCUACUCCUCUUUUUCUCUUGUAGAUCCACUUGCACCCUAUAGGUUUUACCCCAUUUGGUGCCUCUACAAGUUCCCAGACUUUAUUGGAAUACAUAGAUUCCAUUUCUUGAUUCAUGACCUUUUUCCAAAAUUCAACAUCUCUAUCUAUUAAAGCUUCGUUGUAACUAGUGGGAUCUUGUACAUGUUCAUCUGAGAUAGCCGUAUAGGUUUCUCCUAAAAGCAUGUAUCUCGCAGGUAACCUAGUUACCAUCCCACAACGACGAGAUUCUAAAAGUGAUGGUUGUUCACGGUUAAUCCUGUGUUGAUCAUCUGGUUGUUGUUGUUGUUCUUUCUGUUCUGUAACAGGCGUUGAAAGCUGAACAUCGACCUGAUGACCUGAUAGUUCUUCAAGUAUUACCUUACUCUUAGGUUUGAAGUUAUUCAUAUAGUCUUCAUCGAGGGAAGUGAAAUGUAUGCUCACGAUCACUUUCCUAUCUUGAGAACUAUAAAAUAAACCUCCCCUUGUUCCUUUGGGAUACCCCACAAACAUACAAACCUCAGAACGUGAAUCCAUUUUGUCUGCCUUUGGUUUCAGCACAUGUGCUGGUGAUCCCCAAAUACGGACAUGUCGUAAACUUGGUUUGUGACCUGACCAUAAUUCUAUUGGGGUUUUAGGCACUGACUUGAAUGGAACUAAGUUCAAGAGGUAAACUGCAGUUUCCAGUGCUAGUCCCCAAAAAGAGAUUGGUAAUGACGAAUAACUAAGCAUAGAUCUCACCAUAUCCAAAAGAGUUCUAUUUCUUCUUUCAGCUACACCAUUUUGUUGUGGUGUUCUCGGGGCAAUCAACUGAGAUAUAAUCUUAUUUUCAACCAGAUACUCUUUGAAAUCUCCUGAGAGAAAUUCACCACUUCAAUCAGAUCGAAGUUUCUUUAUGUUCUUAUCUAAUUGCUUUUCUGUCUCAGCCCUAUACUCUUUAAAUUUCUUAAGAGCUUCAGACUUGUGACGCAUCAGAUAAACAUAACCGUAUCUUGAGUAAUCAUCAGUGAAAGUGAUGAAAUACUCAUAACUUCCUCGAGCUUGUACAUUGAUUGGUCCACAUACAUCUGUAUGUACCAAUUCAAGUGGUACUGUUGCACGUACUUCUUUGGCUGAGAAUGGCAUUUUGGUCAUUUUCUUUUUUAAACAGAAUUCAUAGAGUGGCUAUGAUUCAUUUUCUAAUGGACCAAAGAGCCCAUCUUUGAUCAUUCUUUGUAUCCUAUUUUGGUUUAUAUGACCCAAGCGUAAAUGCCAGAUGUAACAUUGGUUGGAAGAAAUAUUUCUUUUCUUAGAUAAAUGUGUAUGCUCAUCAUUAUUGAUCAUUGUGUCAUGCAUAUAAUGGAUCAUUGGACUUAAAUGAUAUAAAUUAUCUUCCAAUGCACCAAAACAAAUAAGUCUCUUAUUAUGAAAAAUAGAAACAGAGGAUCCAAAAUUUACAGUGUACCAUUGCUUUGACAAACAAACUACUGAAAUUAAAUUCCUCUUAAUGUCUGGAACAUAAAGACAAUUAUUCAAAACUAAAGUCUCAUUAUUAAAAGAUAAUAAAACAGAUCAAGUCUUCACUGCUGACACGAAUUGUCAUGUCCCUAACUGCAGCUUGACGCUUCCUUCACUUAUUUUCCUGGUUUUUCGAAACCAAUAAAGUGAUAUACAAAUAUGAUUAAUUGCUCCUAAAUCCAACACUCAAGUGUCAAUAGGAUUCUGAACUAAACAGGGCUCAAAUACAAAAAAAUUUCCCAUACUUGAUUUCAAAAUCUUAGGGCAAUCCUCUUUCCAGUGACCUUUUUGUCCACACUUGAAGCAUUUGCCUUUCUGCUUGUCAUCUUGCUUGGUAGACUGUCUCUUUUUCCCAGCUUUGUUCUUACCUUUGCCUUUCAGCUUAGGCCCAGAAGAUGAACUUUUUUCAGUAAUAUUUAUGCUUCCCAGAGAUUUCUCAGCACGAUAGAUCUCUUUAGCAGAAUGGAGUUCGUUCAUCAAUUCAGUUAAUGUCAUGUUUCUUUUUUUCAUGUUAUAAUUGACCUUAAACUCCUUGAAUGUUUCUAGCAGAGAUUUUAGCACCAUGUCAAUCUUUGAGUCAUCAUCGAUUUGUGCUUCCUGAAUCUCAGUCUCAUUCAAAUAGUCCAUCAUUUUGAGGAUAUGAUCACGAACUCUUGUGCCCUUCCCCAUUUUACUAUUCAUAAUUCCUUUCAGCGCUGCUUGUCUCGCAGAGCGAGUACUCUGCCCGAACAUCUGUUGGAGACUAUCCAUUAUUUCAGUGGCAGUCUCCAAGUUCUGAUGUUUGGUCUGCAGAAUAUUAGAAAUCGAAGCUAAAAUGUAGCACUUUGCCAUUUCAUUGGCCUUUUGCCAUUUCUCAUAAAACCUCCUCUGAUUUCUAUGAGCAUCAUCCGCUGGAACUGGAGGGCAUAGCUGGGUUAAGACAUAUUUAUAAUUUUCAGCAGUCAGGACAAUGAAUAGAUUUCUUUUCCAAUCUAUAUAGUUCUCUCCAGUGAAUUUGUUUUGACUCAGAAUAAUAGUAAGUGGGCUCAGGGAAGACAUUUUCUGAAAAAUAAAACAUCCAUGCAUAAAUAAUUUGAAAUAAUAUUCACAAUAAAUGACAAAAAUGCAUAAAACCAUAAAUGUAUUUUAAUUUAUUGUAACGAUAAUCUAAUUCCUCUUUGACAAACUAUUCGGUAGGGAAGUCAUGUCUAUACUUACUAGACCCAAUUACCCAUUGGAUUAUUUACUUUCAUGUAGAGACAUGAUAAAUAAUUAUCGUUAUCCUUUUUGGGCCUAAAUUUGUUAAUAGAGCUUCGUUGGGAAGGUUAAUAACAAAUUUUAGUUGAGUGUAUAACCAUUGUUUCAAUCUAGAUAUUUUUCAUAUCAAUAGUCACCGUUGGGGUGAACAAUCGAUUAAAAAAUAUUUCAAUUUUAUCUUUGAAGAAGUUCAUCAAAUAAAAUAUCUAAUAUAUAUACCAUCCGAAGGGAGCAUCACCGUAUCAUGAAGUCGAGGUAUAUAUAUAAUUUUAUUAUUGAACUAACAAUGGAGUCCGUGGGAAAAUUAUCUUGAAUUUUCCCUCUCCCACUCAAUAUUUUAAAAUUGGUUUUUCCUUUUAAAACAUACAUAUUGUUAAUUGCAUGCUUCCUAUAAUAUUAUCUAGAUGAUAUCAAAUAUUAUUAAGCAUAUGCAAAUUUCAAACAAUAUAAUGAAAUUCAUUAUUAAUGAAUGACAUGUAUCAUUAUGCAUAGAGUGACACUACCUAUUCUAUAUGACAUAUUAUCAUGGCAUGUUAUCAUCCAAAACAUAACAUAUAGAAAAAUAAUUAAAUAAUCUUAAUUCAUGGCUUUCCUAAUAAUGAAAAAUACAUUAACCCUAAGCCUAAUCUUCAUUGGGCUUCUUGUCAAUGUUCAUCUUCCAUAAUCUUGUCUUUGUUAAUGGACUAGGGGAAAUUGGGCUUUUAAAUUUAUAAUUGGUGCAAUUUUAAUUUUGAAAGGAAAUAAAUAAAUAAUUAAAAUUUGUUUAUUAAAAUAAAACUUUUGGACCAAAAAUAAAUUUGAUGUAUUUAAUUUUGUCUAUGCAUUUUAAUCCAUUAAGCCCAAUUGAAAUUGGGCCUAAAACUAAGAUUCAUUAAACCCAAAACUGUUUUUAGAUUUAAACGCAAAAAAUUAAAAAUGUUCUGCCCGAAUGAAAAAUUGUGGAACCAUAAGGAUCUCCAAGAUAAAAACCAUGAAACCCUUAAAUCCAUAUUUUUCUUUCUCUCUUCCCCAGCCGCCAUCUCCAAAAAACCCAGUCGUUGUUCAUGAUUUUCAGAGGUCGAUUUGACCAUCACCGCCGUACGGGAAAACUACCAAACGACAUCCUCCGCUAGCAGCAACCGCCUACAAGUUUCCAUCCCCGAUGCGCGCGCUCACGUUGUUGGCAGCGCUGCUGGUCGCGUGCUACUGCUGUGCGUGGCUGCUGGCUGGCAGCCCGCGCUGUUGGCAGCGUGUGCUGCGAGCCGCGCGCUACAGGCCGCUGCGCUACAGGCCGCUGCGCGUACAACGUGCGCUUGCUGGCAGCAUGUGCUGCUGGCCGCGCGCUGUUUGCUGUUGGUUCGUUGCCGCAGUUUCCAGCAAGUUUUCGCAAUUUACCAGUAAUUAAUUUACAAAUUUCCUAGUCAAUCUUGGCUUACAAAAAUUCUAUAAUAGUAAAAUAAAUCAAGAGGAAAAUAUGGUGAUGAAAAACCACCCCUCUUGUUACAGAUCCAAAGAAAAAAUACAUAGUAAAAUCUAACCAUGAAUUAAGACAAACCAUAACAUGUUUUAUUCAUAUAUUAAACAAAUAAUAUAUAUUUGAAUAAAAUGUGUCACUCUAAUACAUAAAUUUCAAGAUUAAUUUCAUACGAAAUUCUUAUAUAUUAAUAUGAGAUAGCUCUGAUACCAAUUGUUGGGGAAAAAUUAAGUUUUUAAAUUUUUUAUAAAACCUUUUGAAGAUCGCUCUCAUAUAAUAUAUAAGAAUUUGUUUUCUAGAAAUCGUACCUUGAAAAUUCGAGUUGGCUUUUUCUGCUGGAGUGAUUUAGGCUCCUAGAUCACGAUCCGACACCACCACUCCUGUUAGAUCACGUUCCGUCAACACCCCUGUUAGAUCACGUUCCGUCACCACCACGCUUGUUAGAUCACAAACUGUCACCAAUGAUCUUCCAGGUUAUGACUCAGGUUCGAUCUGCACUUGACGUGUGGGCGCCUUUAUCACUACCAAAGUAACUAGCAUGAGAAAAAUUUUCUCUAAAAAAUAGAGAGAAAAAUCUUAUUCUCUGAUCUGUAUAAAGUGGCUUUACUCUUUUUCUUUAGAGAAAAUAAGCCUUAUAUAUCUUCCUUUAGUGAAAAUCCUAGGCUCCAAAUAAUGUCCAAAAUAAAAUUCACGUUACUUUUCAUUUAAUAGGGGACCCACCAUGUAAAAUAACAUAAGGCCCCUUACACAUAAGCUAAUUAAAUAGAGCCUCCCACUAAAUGAUAUAUUUAGGCUUUUGACCCAAAUAGCUAGUUAUCUUGCUUAUUAGUCCAGUAGUGGUGCAGUCAAUUAAAUGAGUUAACCCGGGGAUCAUUUGAGAAUAUACAAUAAUGGCUAUAACAAUUAGGUCUGUAAUUAAACUAGCCUAAUUAUUUAAUUCCAAAUCUACUCCACUAAAAGAUUGGAAUUGACCUCCAUAAUUGUAUGCUCGAAUAAUAAUUUAUCCCAAGUCACAUUGAUUUCUUUACUGCACAAUUCUUUGUACCACAUCGUUAAUUAAAUUAAUAUCUCAACUGUCCAAUCAAUUUAAUAACAUCUUAUUCUUUAAUCCUUACUGAUUUUCUCUAAUGAUCAUUUUCAACAUACUAAAUAUGUUGACACACUCUGGUCAGAGAAUUCUAUGAUCAAGUGCUAAAAACCCAUCAAGAGAUGUGUUGUACAAAUUCUAUAUUGUUAAUCUAUAACUUCAAUACUCAUAAAUGCUCCCACCAAGAUACCGGGUAUACUAGACUACAAGUAUGUGUCAUACCCAUUAGUAACUCAAAUGGAAUAACAAUUACAAUCAUGAAAUCAUAAUUAACUCAAGAUUAAGAUUACAGUAAAAUCAAUGCCUAUGAGAUUUAAUAAGUCUGACAGUUAUUACAAAGUUAAUUAAAUCUCAUAUGUGAUCCUGUUUAAUGUAGUCGUACUACAUUAAUAAAUUCAUACAUGAUUAAGACAAAUCAUUUAAUGAAUUUAUUACAGUCUAUACCUAAAUAAAGUGCCCAACUUUAUUUAUCAACUGCGAACUAAAUUUAUUUAAUCAUAAGAUAACUUGUAUUUAUGUCUUCUGUGAAUCCACAUGGUGAUCACAUAAAUACAUAUAAUAUGAUUAAAUGGACUUUAAUAAAAAUAUUAAUGCAAUUAAGAUAUUUGAAUAAAAUACCUCAUUAAUUUUAUUAAUAAAAAAAAUAUAUUAUAAUUAAAUAAACACAUAUGUUUUUAAAGAACAUAUUUUCCCAACACGACAUUCCUCACCGGAGAGUGUUUCCGGACCUGAUGUCAUCAUUGUUGGUGCUGGUGUCGCUGGUGCUGCCCUGGCUCAUACCCUUGGCACGGUACGUAAAAUUUUAUUUUCAUUUUUUUUUGGAUGUUUAUCUCGAGUCACUUGAUGACUUAGGUGGCGUUUGUUUUUUAACUUAAUGACUUAAAGUGACUUAACUUAAUUAAUUAAGUUAAUUAGAGGUGUUUGUUUUUAUAACUUAAUGAGACUAUUUAGAUAAUUUUGACUUAAUAAAAUAAGCUAAUUUUUUUGACUUUUUACUUAAUGGAGGAAUCUAAAUUAAGUCAAUUACUUGCUAAUGUCAAAAAUAUCCUUGUUUUAUAAUUUAUUUUUUAUGUCUAUCCCAAAACUCACCCAUAGAUAUUUACCCCACAUAAAAAUAUCCCUGUUUUUUUAUUUCUUAUAUUAUAUACGAUAAAAUUUGAAAUUUAUGGUAUUUUAUGUAUUAAAAUUCUAAAAUAAUUAUAUAUUCACUUGAAUAUAGUUUUACUUAUAAAUGUUAAAAUAUUGUGGUAUUUAAUAUAUUAUUUAUUUGACAUUCAAAUUUAAUAAGGAUACAAAUGUAAAAGUACAUAUUUUCAGCUUUUUAAGUUGAAAAAAACAAACAACUUAAUACUUAUUUUCUGAGAUUCCGACGAAAAAACAAACAUAUUAUUCAGAUUCAGACAUUCAGACCUAUUCAGAAUUCAGACUAAUUCAGAUCUAUUCAGAUUUCAGACAAAAAAACAAACGCCACCUUAGUAAUAAUCAAUUGAAAAAAAUAUAUGCAGGAUGGAAGGCGAGUUCAUGUGAUAGAAAGAGAUAUGACGCAGCCUGACAGAAUCGUUGGUGAAUUGCUUCAGCCUGGAGGAUACUUGAAACUAAUUGAACUAGGCCUCGAGGGUACGUAUCAUAUUAAUUUAAUUUUGUUGAAAUUAAAUCACAAUAAUAUGUGUGACCAUAAAGUGAUUCACCAGGGCAUUGAAAGCAUAAAGUGAUUCACCAGGACAUUCAAAAGCAUAGAGAGACAAUGCACAAAAUCAAAGGCAACCCACCCUUCAGUUUAAAAACUGACCUGAAUGAUACUUCUAUUCAACUCAAUAACUGCUGGUUUUGCCGUAAAAUGUGGAUUCUUAAGCAACUUUAUGAUUCGAGUCAACAUUCACUGCAAAAUUGAAACUGAAGGAUCAUGGCUAUUGUCAAUAACCCUUGCCAAGCACAAAGCUGCACCAGUCUGCACCUGCUUAUUAUGUUCACCUAAAGCUUCAAACACUGGCCUCACUAAUGCUACAAAUACCCCAUCAUCACUCUCAUCCCCAUGAUUACUCAAUUUCGAAGCCAAAACUCCCAUUGUUUCCACACAAGCAUCCCUCACAACAGAAUCCGAGUCCUUGAGUCGCUUAACAAUGCUAGCAACCAUUUUAUUGACAUGCGGCCCAACAAGAGCUUGAUGAAACUUAGCUAAUUGUCACGGGCUCGCUUGACACUCAAGGUGGAUACACUUAGAAGUGGGGGUUAACUUAGAAGUUGGGCCACCAAGACAACUAACUAGCUGGGGUGCACUUAGCAAAACCCCCACCAAGGCCCAAAGUCCACCAAAGCCCAAAGGUCUAGAACUCUCUACAUAUUAUCCAUUCACUAGAACUUUCUAGGACUCACCACUUGGGUCCCUUAGUGUUUUGCCACUUGUAAUAGAAUUCUCUAGAAUUAGGCAUUCCACCCCCUAUAAAUAUGGGUGAGCAACCAUCAUUCACACAACCACCAACACACCCACACAACACACCUAGCACACUAGCUCUCAAGCUCUCUUGUACAAACACUCUUGUAAUUAUUCAAAGUGUAAUACAAUCAUCUUUGGCCAUUCCACUCUUACUUCCCUUAACAUUUUCUCUAAGUGUGUGUGCUUGGCUUGUUUAGGGAGUAAUCUAGGCUUACUUGGCGACUCACACGCUAAGGUCGCUCAAGUGCCGCACGGGAACUUACUGCGCAAAACUAUCACCCCGUGACAUAAUGUACCCAUCAAUCUAACACAUUCCUUUCGAACUGCACUCUUCUGUUCUGAAUCGGUGUCCAAAAUACACGAAACAAAUGGAGCAAUCUUCUCUGAGGUUAAACAUUCAGCCAAUUUGUCAAGCUCCUCGACCCCUAUUUGAUAAGUAUCUCUAUCAGCUAGCUUGUUUAGUGCAAGAAUCACUUUAUGCUUAAGCUCAAAUGAGACUUGUUGUACAUUAACCCUAGAAGCUCCCCUUCCUUUCAUCUGUGAAUUUGCCUUCAUCUUGCUUAAUCACCAAAUCGUUCCUAAAAUGAGUAAUUUUUUUCUCUUAUGAAACCAUCGGUGCUAAAAGAAUGCAAAUGAAUGAAGAAUUUUUCAUGAUAACAAGUAAAUAAAUAAUAAAAUAACACCGUAAAUGACAACAUUUUCUAUUUUCAUAAUUUCUUCAAAAUUUACUCUACAGCCUACACUGUCGACAAUUGAGCAUAAAGUAAAUUUAACAAAAGAAUUAAAGAAUCGACGAACGUAAAGAGAUAGCGCGAGCUUAAACCACAAAGACUGAGACCAGCAUUACCGUGGAUAAAAAUUCUUGGAGAACUGAAAAAAUCAAAUUAAAUUGAUAGUAGAGAGAUUGAAUCAUUGAAAUACUCAAAAUUAAAAUAAUAAAAUAAUUGAAAGGCCACAAUCUCAGAGAACUUGAUGCAGAUAUCGAGAACUCCUCCUCACCUCUCUUCGGUGUGAAUCCUUAAGAGAAAGAGUGCGUGAGAUUUUGUUUUUUCUGUUUCGGCUUGAAUUUUGCGCGCUUACUCUGUAUUUCGAAUUUCAGGAAGCCUAUGAGCGUGGGUCCCGUUAGUUCCGUUUUAUGAGCCUCGUUGCUGUUUGAUUGGUGACACGUGGAUUUGUCAGACAUACGCCUGUCCAUUUUUUCGCUUUUUCAGAUGCCAAGUUCAAAAAUUAUUUAUUUACUUUCUUCCUUUUUCAAAAUUUGAAAUAUUUAACUCCAUGACAGUUUGUCGCAACAAAAAUAUCAAAUAAAAUAGAAAAAAAAUACGGAAAAUUUGAUUUAAAAAAAAAAAAACUAUGUUCAAAGUUGAAACUGAACCUAAACCAGAUUGGACCAAUUCACGGGUUCAUUAUGGUUCAGCUUUAUACUGAAUUGAUCGGGUUUGAUUUUUUAAAAAUAUCGAACAGAACCAGAAUUUCCUAAGUUCACGUUUGGUGGCAGUGUGUAUAUAUAUGUAUACGUAAAUGUAUAUAUAUAAUAAUUCUCUAGUGCAGACAUCCUCAUUUUAAUAAAAUAAAAAUAUUAUUAAAAUAUUAAAAAAAUGUAAAUUUUAAUAUAUUAAAGAUUGUAUUUUUCUUUUAAAUGUUGAUAGUAUCCUCAUUUUAUUAUAAUGAGGAUGUUCUCUCUCUCUCUAUAUAUAUAUAUAAGACUUGCUUACGUUGCAACUAUUGCAACAACGUACAACACGAUUUGUCUUCAUUCAGAUAUAUUUUAGAUUAAAAGUGAUUAAAUCUAACGGUUGGAGUUAGAAAGUAGAUAUAUAAAUGAAGGAGCCGGUUGCUAAAACAAAUUGAAAAAAACAAUAGAUUAAAUAAGGGUCCGCAUACAUAUUGCUAUUGACUCUUUUUUGGAAGGCCAUUGUCAGAAAUUUGUCCACACUGUAGAAAUUGUGGUGGGCAUCUAAAUACUUUCCACUCCUCAGAAAUUCCGAUCAUCGAUAUCUUGUCCAUCCCCCCACAAAUUGUGAUUGUGAAAUUUCAAUUUCGAUGUGUGCAGAUUAAAUCAGCAACAACGUCAAUUAAAGCAAACAGAAAUUCCGAUCGUGAAGACGAAGAUGUGACCGAAAACAAUAUUGGGCAGUGCUGGAAGAAAACGAAAUAGGCACAUCUCAUUAUGUGAAAAUAAAGUGAAUAUGGCAUCCGUUUCAUAUGUUGUUAUGGCCUUGGAAUCGAUGCAGCUAGUAAUGCCAAAAAAAACAAAAACAAAAACAAAAAGUUUGAAAGAGAAAGACAGAGGUAAUUAGCUUAGGAGGGCUGGUUUAUGUUUAUUUGUUAGAAUAAGGGAAGUUGAGAUUAGUAAGAAGGAGUGGUUGUUUAACAUUGCAAUGCAUUUUGUGAAACCGACGUUCCCUAAUACAAAAAUACAUAACCAGUUUCAAAGGUUGCCAGUCAAGUUCUCAUUUAAAAUUUAUCUAACUCCAACCAUUAGAUUCAAUUAUUUUUAAUCCAACAGUUUAUCUGAAUGAAGAUAAAUAGUAUCAUAUGUUGCAACGCAGGUGAUAUAUAUAUAUAUAUAGGAUAGGACUUUUUUUUAAUUAAAUUAGUCUAAUUCUUUAUUUGGUGCUAUAAAGAUAAAAUCUUAGGAUCACACUAUUUAAUCCUGGUCCCACAUUUUUAAUUUUUAUGAAGCAAAAUAAAAAUUUUUAUCCAAUGAUAAUUGUAAGGAUAGCUUUCUAAAUUUUUUUUUCAUGUUUACAAGUAAUUGUAGAAUAACUACGCUAUGAAAUAUUUCUAAAUAUUAUUAUAUUAUAUUAUCAUAUUGAUAUUUAAAUAUUUAUUUACUUUAAAUUUUUUAUUUUACUUAGCUAAUAAUAUAGAUGUUAGAAUUUCUAAAUUACACACACACACAAAAUAUUCAGUAGUUUUUUUAUUUAAUAAUUUGAAUAUUCAUAUUAAAAAAAUUUAUGUUCAUAAAUCUACUCUUAUAAAUAAAUAAAUCAAUACUAAUAUAUUUCAUUUUCUUCUAAAUUAGUUUAGUACAAUCCUAGGAUAUGUUUGACAUACAGGAUUGAAUUCAACUAACUACUAAAAUUAGAUUGAACUAUAUUAGAAUUGAAUAGAGUGAAUUAUAUGUAGUAUUGUCUUUUGUUUGUUAUAAUAUCAUGAGUAUGCUAAAUUUAAUUUAAUAAAGCUAAAUAACUAUUUAAAUAGUACAAUUAUUUUAAAUUAUAUUACUACUUGUUAAAUUUAAUAUUUUGUAAAUAAAUUAUUGAAUAUAAUUUUGAUAUUUAAUCUUAUAUUAAAUACUAGCGUCAACAAAUUGUUGAAUUUAAAUUUGAUAAUUAGUAUAAUAUAAAAUUUUAGUUUAAAUCAAUUAUGAAAUUAAUUUUAUUUAUUUAUUUAUAUGAAUAUUAGUUUAAAUAAAAAUGAAAAGAGUGAUAAAGAAGAUUUUAUCCUACUUACAUUAAUAACCUCAUUACGGAUUAAAUGUUGGACUAAUCAACUAAUUCAGACAGCCAAACAUGCCCAAGAUUGGAUUAAUUUUUUAUUUUGUCCCAAAAAUUAGUACAAUCCUAUCUUAAGUUUAGUUCAGUACAAUGCUAUAGUAUACCAAACACGAGAUAAUACCAAAUCUAAUAUAAUCUUAUCUUAUCAUAUCCUUCCAAAUACAACAUAAUUUUACAAUCAUAUCUUAUGUUAUUCCAUCCUAUCCUAUCUUACGUGCCAAACACAUCCUAAUUGUUACGUGUGGAUAUUAUGUUGCCACUUUGAUGAAACAGACGUCUACAUGACAAUAUCACAUCGCGUAAAUCUUAAAACUGUAGGCUAACAUCUUAAGAAAUGAUUGUGUGGACUGCGUUAUAUAUAUAUAUAUAUAUAUAUAUAUAUAUAUUGAGAGAGAGAGAGAGAGUCAUGGACUUUAUUAAAGUUCAAAAAAAGUAUUAAGUCAUAUGGUUUAAUAGUGUAAUAGCAUCUUCUAAAAAAAAAAAAAUAGUGUAAUAACUUAUGAGACUAUAUGAUUUAAUAACUCUAUCAAAUUUUAACAAAAUCUAAAUUUAAGAUUGGAAUAUAUCAUAAGGUAGGAAUUAGGAUUGCUUUCUAUUUAUAAUUGUUCCUGAAGUAGAAAACCUUCGUUUUGUUCCAAAAUAGCUUCUUGCAAAAGGGAUUGCUUCUGACAGGAUGGGAUUAUUAUCCGAGAUUUUGUUAAAGUCCAGACCAGAUCCGGGAUUAUGUAAAGUACAAAGUCCAAAUCACGUAUCACGCACUAUCAUGUUCAAUUUAAUAAUCAUUUAAUUUGGAGACAAUUGAAAUUCAUGUGCUAGGCGACGGCUCCUAUAAUGUGAUUAAAUCGUAACGCAAGUGUUAAUUAAGGGUACCCUUGUAAUUGUAAUUAGAAUUAAUGCCUAUAUAAUCACCUUGAUGUAAUGCUAAUUCUUCAUGCACACAUAUUGCUUUGCUUAAACAUUGUGUCAUUGCUGCCAAAUUGCUCCAAAUCUCUUCAUAUAUAUAGCUUUUUUUUUAUUUAAAGAAUGUGGAAAUUGAAGCUUUCGGAAGGAAAUUGUAAAAACGAUCCAUGGCUUACAAGUUUGAACAAUCAUAUUGGCAGACAAUUCUGGGAAUUUGACCCAAAUCUUGGAACUCCUGAAGAACGGCAACAAGUUAACAAACUUCGCAAUGAUUUCACCGAGAAUCGGUUUCUAACGAAGCACAGUUCUGAUCUCUUAAUGAGACUUCAGGUAAAGAAAUAUCGUUUGUAUGUAUGUAAACUUUACACCAAGAUUUUCAUCAUUUUCGCACUUUAUAAAAUGCAGAUUCAACCAUUAAUAUAAUUCUCAUCAUGAAGUCGUCAGGAUUUGAGAAUUACCGAGUAAUAUAUUACUUGUGUUUAUGUUAUAUGUACAGUUUGCGAAGGAGAAUGCAUGUGAGAUGAAGCAGCUGCCUCAGGUGAAAGUAAAAGAUGAUGAAGAAAUAAGUGAUGAGCAAGUUGUGAGUACAACAUUGAGGAGAGCUCUGAGAUUCUAUUCUAGUCUCCAGGCCGAGGAUGGCUUUUGGCCUGGUGACUAUGGUGGCCCUUUAUUCCUUCUUCCUGGCUUGGUAUAUCUAUAUAUACAUACAUAUAUGGUGAUCCUCAAUUAGUUUACUUGUCUUUUGAGUUUUUAUAAUAUUUUGGAUAAAAAAAUAAAGAUACACAGAAAUGUGUGUGAGUGUUUUUAAUCACUUAUAUGAGAGAGGCUUAAUAUGAUCGUCUGAUCAAAUCAUGAUAUUCAUUCAUCUUAAAAAUCAUUUAUUCGUAUGUAUUCACAAUUGGUCGAUUUCAAGAUGUGCGUGUGUAAUCAAAACUUUGUUAGAUGAGUGUGCAAAUGAUGAUCUCAUGUAAGACUUUCUUGUACUUGGACAAAUUGAAGCCAACUUUCGGAUUAAAGAAAUAUGAUCUCCUUCUUCAAAUCUUUAUUUAUUUUCGUGAAAAUUAACGAAAAGAAAGAAAAAAAAAUUUCAAUAGUCGUUUUCACUAUGUAAUGAUCCCAGCCUCCCGAAAUCAUAUUUUUUUUCUCUCAGAANNNNNNNNNNNNNNNNNNNNNNNNNNNNNNNNNNNNNNNNNNNNNNNNNNNNNNNNNNNNNNNNNNNNNNNNNNNNNNNNNNNNNNNNNNNNNNNNNNNNUUUUAGUGGUCACAAGGAUGGAGCAAAUCAAUGAAAGUACAAUUUCACGGACCCGUUAUAUCCAAUUAGGGUGUAAAAAAAAAAAAUUGUUGGUUUUAUAGCAAAAAAACUGCUUUCAAGUUAAUAAUCAAAGGGUUGUCAUCAGGACAGGCAUCAGCAUUUUUUUUUUUAUUAUUUUAAAAAAAAUCUAUGCAUAUUUUUGAAAAUUAAGAUUAAGAUUCUUUUUUUUUAAAAUAUAUAUAUAUUUUUCAAAAUUAGGUCGCAUCAUUUAUAUAUCCAUUUUCAAACUCAAAAUCAAUAUUUAUGUGUAAUAAAUUAUGAGACAGGUGAUGGGCUUAUUUGUAACCGGUGCCUUGAAUGCAAUUUUAACAGUGGAACAUCGAAGGGAAAUGAUUCGUUAUCUAUAUAACCACCAGGUAUAUGUUUUACUUAUAAAAAUACAUAAUUAAACAAUUCUAUUAACCGUGUAGAUUAAUUUCUCAACAAAUAUUUUACAAAACUGAAGGUGUUUAUUGAAACUAAGCCAUAAUUUUUGCGGAGUAAUGUGAAACCAAUAAUCUACAGAAUAGAGAUGGAGGAUGGGGAUUGCAUAUAGAAGGGUGCAGCACGAUGUUCUGUACUGCGCUAUCAUAUGUCACUUUGAGACUGCUUGGAGAGACAAUGGACGGUGGGGAUGAUGGUGCCAUGGAAAAAGCCCGAAAAUGGAUCCUUGAUCGCGGUGGGGUGACCUCCAUUCCAUCUUGGGGAAAGAUGUGGCUUUCGGUAUGAACCAUUCAUUACAUCCUUGUAAUCAUUCUCCGGUCUGAACGUCUUCGUGCAAAUUUGUUCACGAAUGUUGGCAUUUCAAGGCUAAAAUACACAACAAUUUAGCACUGAAUUGCGAGCAAACCGUAUACAAUUAGUUCACAUUUUAUAUUACUGUUUUGUUAUUUUAUCUUCACAAAUCAUUAUUUAGAUUUUUGCUACCGAUAUUUUUCGGCAAAAUAAAAAUAGGUGCUUGGAGUAUACGAGUGGAGUGGGAACAAUCCACUACCCCCGGAAAUAUGGCUUCUCCCUUAUUUUCUUCCUUUUCAUCCAGGUAAAAACUAAUUUUGUUUGUGUGUUUGUUUAUAUUAUCUAUAAUCCAGCUUUUUUAUGUGUAAAUUCAAAACCUUAAAUUGAUAUUUUAAGUGAAAAGGAACUCAUUAUACCAUGUAGUUAAUUAAUAUCGGAUGUUUAUGUUUUUUGGUCCGGAUCUUAAAGUGCGGAAAAAAUUCAGGAAAAUUUUAAAACUGUGGGAUUUUAAAAGCUUAAAACUUAAAGAAUUUAAACCGCACGGUUUAUACAUUUUCCAAAACUUUCCCACACUUUAAAAUUUCCAAACUUUAAUUACUAUGGCCAUAAAAAUACUGGGUUAACUAUAUAUCAAUAAUCAUAAAUUAAUUUUGGAUUUUAUAGAAUAAAUACAUGUACGUCGGAGAAAAUUCCCCAUAUUGUCGUGUUAGUACAUUUUGGAAUAGUAAAUUAAUUAGUUGUAGUUUUGAAUGAUACAAGUAAAUGGAUCGUAUAAAUUAAUGAAAUUAAUGAACGUAUGCAGGGCGUAUGUGGUGUCAUUGUCGGAUGGUGUAUUUGCCAAUGUCGUAUUUGUAUGGAACCAGAUUUGUCGGUCCAUUCAAUUCUCUUAUUUUAUCUCUUAGAAAGGAGCUCUACACGCUUCCUUAUCACUACAUCGAUUGGGACCAUGCCCGAAAUUUGUGUGCCAAGGUACAAUAAAAUUAAAAUAAUCUUUAUUCCAUUCUAUUUAAAUUUAAAAACUUCAUAACUUUAUGUGUGACAAGAGAAAAGACAAGCCGAAUUAACUUAAUACUCUACUAAUAAUAAAUAUUACAAUUACAAUAUUAGAUGUCAAUUUUUUUCCUCUCAUUUCUCUUUUAUGUGAUAAUUUGAGAAAAAGAGCGAACCCAUAUUGUUUAAUAAGACUAAUCGAAACCCUUUCAUACUUUAAAACACAUUUCAAUUUUUUGGGUGUUAAUUUUUUUUUAAUCUUAUCAUUUUAUCCUUUGUGGUUGUUUGACAUUGGGAUAUAUGUGAAUAUAUUUAAUUCUUUAAUUAAUUGACUAAUUAUUUUUCACAACUAAUUGCAAAAGUAAAUGAAAAAUUAUGGAACAAGUAAGCAAAAUUUUCAUAAAAUUUUAAUUUGUUAUGAAUUUUUACAAAACAAUUGAAAAUUAAAUGCAAAAGUUUAAUUUAUAUACAGUGAUUAUCUAAUUAGAGAUUUCUUAAAUUAUUAAAGUAAGAGAUAAAGUAAAAGACAAAAUACACGCUCCAAUAUAACGUGUUUUACUUUAAUAAUAUAAGGGAACCCGAAUAUAUAAAUAUAUAUAAUGAAAUUCAUUUACUUUUACCCAUAGUUUUUCAAUUAAUUAUAAAUUAUAAAUAAAUUAAUUAAUUAAAUAAUUAAAGAUAUUUAUUCAAGGGGUUCCACUCAUUUUUCUUUGAUAACUUAAUAGAAAGAAUCCCCCUAUUUUACAUGCAUGUAACUUAGCAUUAGCCUAAUAGAAAACUAAUUUUAUUUUACUGUCAAUGCAUGGUUAAUUGCUCAAAUUAAUAAUAAUGAGUGGUACGAUUCGCCAAUUGGGGCUUUAAAAAAUGUUGGCGGUGUCGCUUGCAAGGGAUUAAAUUAUAAAUUUUAGUACGGGUGACAUGAGAAUAAGAUAUAAAAUAAUGAGUGAGAUAAUCUUUUUCAUUUUUUGAAAACAUAAUAUAAACAAAUUUGAUUAUAAAGUAGGGAAGAUAGUACGAUCUAAUUUUCUUUUUCUCUUUUAUUUUUUGAGAAGUAGUACGAUGUAAUUGUGAAGAAAUUAAAAAUAUUUAACUCCCGAAUGAUUUAGAUUGAAUCAAUAAUUGAGAUCUAUAAUAAAAGACAAUCAAAUGAUCAAUAUUUUCGCAUAAUGUAUAAUAUUUAAUUUCCUAUCAAAAUCAAAAGUGGAUGGAAGGUCACUUUCUUCAAAAGUAGACGGAAGGACGAUAGAGGUUGCAGAAAUUAUUUUUGAAAUAUUAAUUAAAGAAAACUAGAGUGGUUCCCUUGUUCUAAUAUGACAAGAUUUUAAUUUUGGACCUGCUUGUAAAGAGAGCAUUUGUAUUAAAAUUGUUUAAAGAAAAUACCAUACCAAUUUGUAAGCAAAUAAAACUUUGUAUGGCAAUUGGUAUAUUUAGCUUUAUUUGUAUUAUUACUAAUAUAAUAGGAGAAAAAUUAACGUUUUGCAGGAGGACCUUUACUAUCCCCACCCCAUGAUCCAAGACAUAUUAUGGGGGUGUCUUCACAAAAUUGGGGAACCUCUUGUAAUGAAAUGGCCUUUCUCUAAGCUGAGACACAAUGCUCUUAAAACUGUAAUGCAGCACAUCCAUUAUGAAGAUGAGAAUACUCAGUAUAUUUGCAUUGGCCCCGUCAAUAAGGUAAUUUUCAGGACGAAAUUUAACCCACUUAAUGUAAAUUUUAUGCCUAAUCCCUUCAUAUUUACAGUUUUUAUCUUUUAGCCUAAAAAGUUUGUUUUUCUCUAUUAUACCUCCCAUUGAACCAAAAUUCUUAUUCUGCCAUUGGUCAAAUCAAAUCCAUUGUAAGCUUUUUUGGAAAAAUAAUUGUAUUUACAAAGUUUUAGAAUGGUUUUUGAUACAUUGGAAGCUAUUUUAGGAAUAUUAAUUAAUAAUGUAAGAUCAAUUAAUUACAUUUAAAUGAUCUUAAUUGGAUGAGUAUUGUCACGCACGUUAUAGUACGCAAUAGGACGCAUGUCAAUUUUUUAUUAGGAGGAUUAUGUUGUGGGCCCACAACCCCACCAAUGAAAUAGUAACAUGUGUGCGCACAUAAUAUCAGCCCACUACAUUUGAAUUCAUUGUCAAACCUUUGUGCAUACAUAGGUACUAAACAUGAUUUGCUGUUGGGUGGAGGACCCAAAUUCUGAGGCCUAUAAACGUCACCUCUCAAGAAUUAAAGACUAUCUCUGGAUUGCUGAAGAUGGAAUGAAGAUGCAGGUUGCAAUUAGUUAAACAGUUUUAUUUAGGAAAAAUUUAAUCAAUUGGGGAUUUUGAUAUUAAUUAUAAAAUCCUCAAUGACAGGGAUACAACGGGUCACAACUGUGGGAUGUAACAUUUGCAGUCCAAGCAAUCUUGGCCACUGAUCUUGUUGACGAAUAUGGUUCAACACUUGUGAAAGCCUUCAGUUUCCUGAAAAACACCCAAGUAUCUAUUAAUUUCAUUUAAAAGAUCAAACCUUUAAACCUAUCUUUAAUCUUAAAUUAAAACAAAAUGUUAGCGGAUUUUCUUGUUCAUAAAUCAUGAUUAAAUUUGUCAAUUAAGGUUCGGGAAGAUUGCACCGGUGAUCUGAAUUAUUGGUACCGCCAUA